AUGAUUGCGAAUCGUUACCUUCGGUGCUGGCUGGCUCUUCCGAGCAAGUAAGUGCACGUUGGUGGCGUUCAUCCACUCCACUACCCUUGUGAACCUUUGGCCUCUUGCUAGCUUCGGUCGGCAGAGGAUUUUUAUACCUACUCGAAUGUAAUGAAAUUAUUGUCGUGCGCAAGCACUAAUGUA
rnacentral:misc_RNA from 1 species